GCCUCUAUAGCUCAGUCGUAGAGCGCUUGACGUAUGUCAUUUCUUCUAUCUAUCAUGAUAGUUCUUUCAACUAACAGGCUCCAAAGUUGUAUAGCAACUGUAUGAAAUCAAGAGGUCCGUGGUUCAAUCCCGCGUGGAGGCA